GACAUAUUCAGAACAUGGCAGCUUCUAGAAUUGGUUCAAUCUUCUGCUCGAGUGGCAGUGGCCAAAGGCCUGGAGCCGACCAAGGAGAGGUUAUCUAGUUAAGAAUCAUCAGUGGCUGAUCAUCCCUCAAAGACAAACAACUAGACAAGAUGUGGCUCCUGAUGGAAGAACGCAGGCCACCACCUACAAAGCACCCUGGCUGCCUCCCUCCCCCAGGAAACAAGGCAUGAAGAGAAAACCAACCUCUCCUUUCUGGUUGAUGAUGGGAACAGCGUAUUGUAACUUCACAUCAUAGAAAAGGGACUCGAGGAAGACAUUGGCCACCCCAAUGAGACUGUGAUUUUCCUGCUCAUCAUAGAAUGGAUCAGCACGUUUGAAGUACGAUCGUAUUACCUGUAAAGAGAUUGAGAACACACAACUUCAGAAAAACCAUUUACAAUAAAUGCAUUCAACCUAC
rnacentral:antisense_RNA from 1 species